CGAAUGCUGACAUAAGUAACGAUAAAGCGGGUGAAAAGCCCGCUCGCCGGAAGACCAAGGGUUCCUGUCCAACGUUAAUCGGGGCAGGGUGAGUCGACCCCUAAGGCGAGGCCGAAAGGCGUAGUCGAUGGGAAACAGGUUAAUAUUCCUGUACUUGGUGUUACUGCGAAGGGGGGACGGAGAAGGCUAUGUUGGCCGGGCGACGGUUGUCCCGGUUUAAGCGUGUAGGCUGGUUUUCCAGGCAAAUCCGGAAAAUCAAGGCUGAGGCGUGAUGACGAGGCACUACGGUGCUGAAGCAACAAAUGCCCUGCUUCCAGGAAAAGCCUCUAAGCAUCAGGUAACAUCAAAUCGUACCCCAAACCGACACAGGUGGUCAGGUAGAGAAUACCAAGGCGCUUGAGAGAACUCGGGUGAAGGAACUAGGCAAAAUGGUGCCGUAACUUCGGGAGAAGGCACGCUGAUAUGUAGGUGAAGUCCCUUGCGGAUGGAGCUGAAAUCAGUCGAAGAUACCAGCUGGCUGCAACUGUUUAUUAAAAACACAGCACUGUGCAAACACGAAAGUGGACGUAUACGGUGUGACGCCUGCCCGGUGCCGGAA
rnacentral:rRNA from 1 species